rnacentral:snoRNA from 1 species
CUGCAGCCAGUUAAGUUGAUCGAGCUCUUUUCCUCAUGGAGGCUUGGUGUGCAAUGACUGCAAACAGCAGGGUCCUUGGUAGUGUACGCAGCCUGUUUCUUGUAUGGGUUGCCUCUAAGGGUCCUUGGAGAUAGCC